CCUACGGGAGGCAGCAGUGAGGAAUAUUGGUCAAUGGGCGCGAGCCUGAACCAGCCAAGUCGCGUGAGGGAAGACGGUCCUAUGGAUUGUAAACCUCUUUUGUCAGGGAGCAAAAGACGCCACGCGUGCCUUUCCGAGAGUACCCGAAGAAAAAGCAUCGGCUAACUCCGUGCCAGCCGCCGCGGUAAUACGGAGGAUGCGAGCGUUAUCCGGAUUUAUUGGGUUUAAAGGGUGCGCAGGCGGAAGAUCAAGUCAGCGGUAAAAUUGAGGGGCUCAACCUCUGCGAGCCGUUGAAACUGGUUUUCUUGAGAGGGCGAGAGGUAUGCGGAAUGCGUGGUGUAGCGGUGAAAUGCAUAGAUAUCGCGCAGAACUCCGAUUGCGAAGGCAGCAUACCGGCGCUCAACUGACGCUCAUGCACGAAAGUGUGGGUAUCGAACAGGAUUAGAUACCCGUGUAGUC
rnacentral:rRNA from 1 species